GUAACAUUCUACAGGUGAUUUUGAAAGUCAUUAUUUGGUGGCUACCCCCACCAUGUUACU
rnacentral:tRNA from 1 species